UACGGAGGGUGCAAGCGUUAAUCGGAAUUACUGGGCGUAAAGCGUGCGCAGGCGGUUUGUUAAUUCCGCUGUGAAAUCCCCGAGCUCAACUUGGGAAUUGCAGUGGAUACUGGCAAGCUGGAGUAUGGUAGAGGAAGGUGGAAUUCCCGGUGUAGCAGUGAAAUGCGUAGAGAUCGGGAGGAACACCAGUGGCGAAGGCGGCCUUCUGGACCAAUACUGACGCUCAUGCACGAAAGCGUGGGGAGCAAACAGG
rnacentral:rRNA from 1 species